GAUGAACGCUGGCGGCAUGCCUAAGACAUGCAAGUCGAACGAGAGGGCCCAAGGAGAGAGAAAGAAAUGGAAAGUGCUUGCACUGGAAAUGGAAAGCUUUCGAAUUGGAAUUUCCCUCGAGUGGCAAACGGGUGAGUAACACGUGGGUUACCUACCUCUAUGAUGGGGAUAACAGUUGGAAACGAUUGCUAAUACCGAAUGUGCUCUACGGAGUAAAGAAGCCCUUAAAGCUUCGCAUAGAGAUGGGCCUGCGGUGCAUUAGCUAGUUGGUGGGGUAAUGGCCUACCAAGGCAGCGAUGCAUAGCCGAGCUGAGAGGUUGAUCGGCCACACUGGGACUGAGACACGGCCCAGACUCCUACGGGAGACAGCAGUUAGGAAUAUUGGGCAAUGGGCGCAAGCCUGACCCAGCAACG
rnacentral:rRNA from 1 species